rnacentral:rRNA from 1 species
GACGAACGCUGGCGGCGUGCUUAACACAUGCAAGUCGAACGGAAAGGCCCUGCUUUUGUGAGGUGCUCGAGUGGCGAACGGGUGAGUAACACGUGAGUAACCUGCCCUUGACUUUGGGAUAACUUCAGGAAACUGGGGCUAAUACCGGAUAGGAGCUCCUGCUGCAUGGUGGGGGUUGGAAAGUUUCGGCGGUUGGGGAUGGACUCGCGGCUUAUCAGCUUGUUGGUGGGGUAGUGGCUUACCAAGGCUUUGACGGGUAGCCGGCCUGAGAGGGUGACCGGCCACAUUGGGACUGAGAUACGGCCCAGACUCCUACGGGAGGCAGCAGUGGGGAAUAUUGCACAAUGGGCGGAAGCCUGAUGCAGCAACGCCGCGUGCGGGAUGACGGUCUUCGGGUUGUAAACCGCUUUCGCCUGUGACGAAGCGUGAGUGACGGUAAUGGGUAAAGAAGCACCGGCUAACUACGUG